rnacentral:rRNA from 3 species
UACGUAGGUGGCAAGCGUUGUCCGGAUUUACUGGGCGUAAAGAGCGCGCAGGCGGUCGUUCAAGUCGCGUGUGAAAGCCCCCGGCUCAACUGGGGAGGGUCACGCGAUACUGAUCGACUCGAAGGCAGGAGAGGGAAGUGGAAUUCCCGGUGUAGUGGUGAAAUGCGUAGAUAUCGGGAGGAACACCAGUGGCGAAGGCGACUUCCUGGCCUGUUCUUGACGCUGAGGCGCGAAAGCUAGGGGAGCAAACGGG